rnacentral:rRNA from 1 species
UACGGAGGGGACUAGCGUUGUUCGGAAUUACUGGGCGUAAAGCGCACGUAGGCGGAUUUGUAAGUCAGGGGUGAAAUCCCGAGGCUCAACCUCGGAACUGCCCUUGAUACUGCAAAUCUCGAGUCCGGAAGAGGUGAGUGGAAUUCCUAGUGUAGAGGUGAAAUUCGUAGAUAUUAGGAAGAACACCAGUGGCGAAGGCGGCUCACUGGUCCGGUACUGACGCUGAGGUGCGAAAGCGUGGGGAGCAAACAGG